UACGUAGGGGGCAAGCGUUGUCCGGAUUCAUUGGGCGUAAAGAGCUCGUAGGCGGUUCGGUAAGUCGGGUGUGAAAUCUCCGUGCUCAACACGGAGCGGCCACCUGAUACUGCCGUGACUCGAGUCCGGUAGGGGAGUGUGGAAUUCCCAGUGUAGAGGUGAAAUUCGUAGAUAUUCGCAAGAACACCGGUGGCGAAGGCGGCCAACUGGACCAUUACUGACGCUGAGGCGCGAAAGCGUGGGGAGCGAACAGG
rnacentral:rRNA from 1 species